UACACUCCUACGGGAGGCAGCAGUGGGGAAUAUUGCACAAUGGGCGCAAGCCUGAUGCAGCCAUGCCGCGUGUAUGAAGAAGGCCUUCGGGUUGUAAAGUACUUUCAGCGGGGAGGAAGGCGAUAAGGUUAAUAACCUUGUCGAUUGACGUUACCCGCAGAAGAAGCACCGGCUAACUCCGUGCCAGCAGCCGCGGUAAUACGGAGGGUGCAAGCGUUAAUCGGAAUUACUGGGCGUAAAGCGCACGCAGGCGGUCUGUCAAGUCGGAUGUGAAAUCCCCGGGCUCAACCUGGGAACUGCAUUCGAAACUGGCAGGCUAGAGUCUUGUAGAGGGGGGUAGAAUUCCAGGUGUAGCGGUGAAAUGCGUAGAGAUCUGGAGGAAUACCGGUGGCGAAGGCGGCCCCCUGGACAAAGACUGACGCUCAGGUGCGAAAGCGUGGGGAGCAAACAGGAUUAGAAACCCCAGUAGUCCCAUG
rnacentral:rRNA from 1 species